GUUGUGCUAAUUGUAUUAAAAAUCUAAAGAAAGUUUAUAAAAAUUAUGGAAUGGGUUAUAAGGGUUCUUAAACCAAACUUGAGGGUUGAUUGUGUAACAUUUUAAUAACAUGUAAAAUAAGAUUAAUUAGUAAAAUUAAAACCCAGAAUGUUCUGGGUGUUGGUCGCGACCAGAGAAGGGGGAAAGGGGAAGAACCCUAGCUUGCUCAAUUAACUACAAAUUCAGUGCAAUUAUGGAGGAUUCAUGUUACAAAUCGAAUGCUAAUGUCUAAAUACUCACUAAUCUCAGUGAUCGAAAGAAGAAGGAGCUAGUUCCGGAUCACAAACAAAGUC
rnacentral:lncRNA from 1 species